rnacentral:rRNA from 1 species
CCUACGGGGGGCUGCAGUGGGGAAUAUUGGACAAUGGGCGAAAGCCUGAUCCAGCCAUGCCGCGUGUGUGAAGAAGGCCUUCGGGUUGUAAAGCACUUUCAGUGGGGAAGAAAGCCUUGGGGCUAAUACCCUCGAGGAAGGACAUCACCCACAGAAGAAGCACCGGCUAACUCCGUGCCAGCAGCCGCGGUAAUACGGAGGGUGCGAGCGUUAAUCGGAAUUACUGGGCGUAAAGCGCGCGUAGGCGGUCUGAUAAGCCGGUUGUGAAAGCCCCGGGCUCAACCUGGGAACGGCAUCCGGAACUGUCAGGCUAGAGUGCAGGAGAGGAAGGUAGAAAUCCCGGUGUAGCGGUGAAAUGCGUAGAGAUCGGGAGGAAUACCAGUGGCGAAGGCGGCCUUCUGGACUGACACUGACGCUGAGGUGCGAAAGCGUGGGUAGCAAACAGGAUUAGAUACCCUAGUAGUC